CCUACGGGAGACAGCAGUGGGGAAUAUUGCACAAUGGGGGAAACCCUGAUGCAGCGACGCCGCGUGAGUGAAGAAGUAUUUCGGUAUGUAAAGCUCUAUCAGCAGGGAAGAAAAUGACGGUACCUGAAUAAGAAGCCCCGGCUAACUACGUGCCAGCAGCCGCGGUAAUACGUAGGGGGCAAGCGUUAUCCGGAUUUACUGGGUGUAAAGGGAGCGUAGACGGCGCGGCAAGUCGGAAGUGAAAGGCCGGGGCUUAACCCCUGAACUGCUUUGGAAACUGCCAUGCUAGAGUGCUGGAGAGGUAAGUGGCAUUCCUCGUGUAGCGGUGAAAUGCGUAGAUAUUAGGAGGAACCCCAGUGGCGAAGGCGGCUUACUGGACCGUAACUGACGUUGAGGCUCGAAAGCGUGGGGAGCAAACAGGAUUAGAUACCCGGGUAGUC
rnacentral:rRNA from 1 species